UGAGACACCAUAUCUGGCUAAUAUAGGCGGAAGAUAGCAACUUACUGAGCAACAACGAGCGUGAGGUAUUCCACUAGCCAUGACGGCCAGCCACGGGAUAUUACCACUCACCAUUGUCGUCCUUGUUCUAUUAUCGUCAGACAUCCAAAAUGUCAGAGCGUUGGUGAGGGAGGAGGCUGACGUUACCACAGAUUACAACCAUUACACAUGCACCAAGGUCAUUGGCCGCCGCUGCACCAUCCGCACGUGUAGGGACUCAUGCCAUAAGAAGCUCAGCGGUGUCGGUAACUGCCUUGCCGACGGCGAGUGUAGGUGCUCAUAUUACUACAACACACCCCCUUCUUUUAUGACCAAGUCGGAUGAGACGCUCCAUUGAAGGGCUAGAUGCAGACACCGAUAAAAUUUUGUGUUAUGACACAUCUUGUUCAUCAAUAAACUACAUGACUUGAUAUUGCAA